rnacentral:rRNA from 1 species
GAGUGAACGCUGGCGGUAGGCCUAACACAUGCAAGUCGAACGGCAGCACAGUGGUAGCAAUACCAUGGGUGGCGAGUGGCGGACGGGUGAGGAAUACAUCGGAAUCUACCUUUUCGUGGGGGAUAACGUAGGGAAACUUACGCUAAUACCGCAUACGCCCUUCGGGGGAAAGCCGGGGAUCGCAAGACUUGGCGCGGAUAGAUGAGCCAAUGUCGGAUUAGCUAGUUGGUGAGGUAAUGGCUCACCAAGGCGACGAUCCGUAGCUGGUCUGAGAGGAUGAUCAGCCACACUGGAACUGAGACACGGUCCAGACUCCUACGGGAGGCAGCAGUGGGGAAUAUUGGACAAGUGGGCGCAAGCCUGAUCCAGCCAUACCGCGUGGGUGAAGGAA